UCCUGCUCAAGCCCUGCUGGCUUUGGGACGAGUCUGGGCCUGAACAUGAGCAAGAGAAAGUCAAGGGGAAAUAGUUACAUCAACUUAUUUUGAAUACAUCACUUGGGUGAGUUGCAGAGGCUAGCCUUUAUCCCAAGUGGUGCUCAAAUAACAUCAUCAAGCCAUUCUAUCAGUAUUUUGUAGAAACAGCAGCAAAAAAAUGUGAGAAAAAUUGCAAACUGUCCACUCUGACUAGUCAGGGCCAGUUACUAUGUUGACAGCCGUUCUUAUUCAAGAUAAACUAUAUUGGAUUUAGAGAUGAGGCCAAUUUUUAAAAAAUAUAUCCAAUUUUCAGCAACUAUUCUGAGUGCCUAUUCUAUGUUAGGCAUCAUGAGGAUUAAUUAUAGAAACAUGAGCUGAAUCUUCAGUCCACACUUUGAUGAUGGAGGAAACAAUGGAGGACCUAUAAGAAACCAAAAGGCUAUUCUACAGUGGACUUAGACCUGACAAAAGUGACAGCUUUAGAGGAGGGACAUGUUUGUCCAUUGGCCCAGUCCCCACCUGGCUCUCUUCAUUUUUUCAUAUUUCCUGCCUGACCUUGGAGCCAUUUGAUUCAUGACAUAUCCAUUAUCAUGUUCACAUGAGUAAAAAGUAAAAAGUCCUGGAAAAGCAUGGGAAAACCUGGAAUCUAAUCCUGCCUCUGGCAUUUACCAAGAUGGGGUUUGAGAUCAACUACUUGAUCUCUCUGAGCCUCAUUUUCUCCCUUUAUAAGAAAUGGAAGACUUGAAACCAGAUGCCUACUUGAGCAAAUACUUCAGAGAAGAUCUUCAUUUAGAGGAUAAUCGGCAAAAAAAGGUUUGUGUCUAUGACUUUUAUCAGUUUUCAGAGGGGGAGGAUGGUGGUGAAUUGCUAGUGUGUA